rnacentral:rRNA from 1 species
UUGGUACUAAGCCAUGCGAGUCGUUGUAGCAAUACAAGGCGGACGGCUCAGUAACACGUAGUCAAUCUACCUUAUGGACGGGGAUAACCUCGGGAAACUGAGAAUAAUACCCGAUAGAUCAUAACUCCUGGAAUGGUUUAUGGUCCAAAUGAUUUAUCGCCAUAGGAUGGGACUGCGGCCCUAUCCACUUUGUUGUGUGGGGUAAUGGCCCACCAAGGCUAUAACAGGUACGGGCUCUGAAAGGAAAAGCCCGGAGAUGGGUACUGAGACACGGACCCAGGCCCUAUGGGGCGCAGCAGGCGAGAAACCUUAGCAAUGGGGCGAAAGCACGACUAGGUUAAUCCGAGUGAUUUCUGGCUGAAAAAAUCUUUUGUCAGUUCUAAAUCUACUGGGUGAAAUAAGGGGUGGGCAAGUCUGGGUGUCAGCCGCCGCGGUAAUACCAGCACCUCGAGUGGUUAGGAGGUUUAUUGGGCCUAAAGCAUCCGUAGCCGGCUCUGCAAGUCUCCGGGUAAAUCCAUCUGCUUAACAGAUGGGCUGCCGGGAGAUACUACAUAGCUAGGGAAGCGGGGAGGAGGUAGACGGUAUUCGGUGGGUNGGGGUUAAAACCCUCUGUUCC